GAAACGUUCAAGACACAACGUGAUGUGGCUGGACCAGGAGAACCACGACUUUCUUUUAACUGCCACAGCUCAGGUAAACAAAGGAGGACAGUUUUCAAAGUGGGGUCUGUUCGUGCAGCAGCCGCCCCAGAAGCGCGCAGUCCUGAUUGCCACGCCAGCAGCAGGAGCCCCGUGCUCAGCCCCGCACAGCUCAGCCCCAGGUCUCCGACCCACUUUUCUGAGUCAUCUUUAUUUGCCAGCAAUGGAGAUUAAACGGCAAGAUUUCUCCUAUUCGUUUUCUACAAACCUUCCUCCUUGUGCUUUAUUGAUAUAAAUUACAGGAAAAUCAA